rnacentral:misc_RNA from 1 species
GAUGAAGAACGUAGCGAAAUGCGAUAAGUAAUGUGAAUUGCAGAUUUCCAGUGAAUCAUCGAAUCUUUGAACGCACCUUGCGCCCCUUGGUUAUUCCAAAGGGCAUGCCUGUUUGAGUAUCAUGAACACCUCAACUCUUGUGGUUUCCCACAAUGAGCUUGGACUGUGGAGGUUUUGUUGGGCCUGUGGUCAGCUCCUCUCAAAUGGAUCAGCUUACCGGUGUUUGGUGGCAUUACGGGUGUGAUAACUAUCUACGCUCGUGGUCGUCUCCAAAUAACCUCCAGUGAUGGAGGUUCGCUGGAGCUUAUAAAUGUCUCUCCCCAGUGAAGACAGCCUUUGAACGUUCGAUCUCAAAUCAGGUAGGACUACCCGCUGAACUUAAGCAUAUCAAUAAGCGGAGGA